GACGAACGCCGGCGGCGUGCUUAACACAUGCAAGUCGAACGGUAAGGCCCUUCGGGGUACACGAGUGGCGAACGGGUGAGUAACACGUGGGUGAUCUGCCCUGCACUUCGGGAUAAGCCUGGGAAACUGGGUCUAAUACCGGAUAGGACCACUGCCUGCAUGGGUGGUGGUGGAAAGCUUUUGCGGUGUGGGAUGGGCCCGCGGCCUAUCAGCUUGUUGGUGUGGUGAUGGCCUACCAAGGCGACGACGGGUAGCCGGCCUGAGAGGGUGACCGGCCACACUGGGACUGAGAUACGGCCCAGACUCCUACGGGAGGCAGCAGUGGGGAAUAUUGCACAAUGGGCGCAAGCCUGAUGCAGCGACGCCGCGUGAGGGAUGACGGCCUUCGGGUUGUAAACCUCUUUCAGCACCGACGAAGCGCAAGUGACGGUAGGUGCAGAAGAAGGACCGGCCAACUACGUGCCAGCCGCCGCAGUAA
rnacentral:rRNA from 1 species